rnacentral:rRNA from 1 species
CAGUCCCUACGGGACGCAGCAGUGAGGAAUAUUGGUCAAUGGGCGGAAGCCUGAACCAGCCAAGUCGCGUGAGGGAAGAAGGCCCUGCGGGUCGCAGACCUCUUUGGACGGGGAGCAAGGCCGCCGACGUGUCGGCGGAAGGAGAGUCCCGUAGAACAAGCAUCGGCUAACUCCGUGCCAGCAGCCGCGGUAAUACGGAGGAUGCGAGCGUUAUCCGGAUUUAUUGGGUUUAAAGGGUGCGCAGGCGGCACGGCAAGUCAGCGGUCAAAUCGUGGGGCUCAACCCCAUCCAGCCGUUGAAACUGG